rnacentral:lncRNA from 1 species
UCCUGCGAUGGUUGAUAUUGAGUGUCAACUGGAUUGGAUGGAAGGAUGCAAAGUAUUGUUCCUGGGUGUGUCUAUGAGGGUGUUGCCAAAGGAGAUUAACAUUUGGGUCAGUGGACUGGGAAAGGCAGACCCAGCCUCAAUCUGGGAGGGCACCAUAAAAGCAGGUAUGUAAAGAGCAGACUGGCUGAGUCUUCCAGCCUCCAUCUUUCUGCUGUGCUGGAUGUUUCCUGCCCUCAAACAUUGAACUCCAAGUUCUUCAGCUUUUGGUUCUUGGACCUGCACCAGUAGUUUGCCAGGGGCUGUUGGGCCUUUGGCCACAGACUGAAGGCUGCACUGUCAGCUUCCCUGCUUUUGAGGUUUUGGAACUUGGACUGGCUUCCUGGCGCCUGUGCUUGCAGAUGGCCUGUUGUGGGACCUCACCUUGUGAUCGCGUGAGUCAAUACUCCUUAAUAAACUCUCCUUUAUAUCUACAUCUAUGUUAGUUCUGUCCCUCUAGAUAACCCUGACUAAUACACCCCCAAAACUACCCAUGAUAAAAGUUGACUCUCCUAUUCUCUAGAAGCUAGAGAUCUGAGCAGUAUUUAUUUAUUUUUUAUUGUUUGAGAUGGAGUCUUGCUCUGUCACCCAGGCUAGAGUGCAGUGGCACGAUCUAGGCUCACUGCAACCUCUGCCUCCUGGGUUCAAGCAAUUCUCCUGCCUCAGUCUCCCAAGUAGCUGGGAUUACAGGUGCCUGCCAACAUGCCCGGAUAAUUUUUUGGUAUUUUAAAUAAAGACA